rnacentral:rRNA from 1 species
GCGUGCGGGGGCCAAGCCGGUUCAGCCGGGGUGCUCUUGACCGAGUGUCCCGCGCGGCCGGCCGCUUCACCUUGAACAAAUGAGAGUGCUCAAAGCAGGCUACUCUUGACACUAAAGCCCGAAUGUUAACUGCAUGGAAUGAUGGAAGAUGAUCUCGGUUCCAUUUUGCUGGGCCCCUUUGGGAAUCCGAGUUAAUGAUAAACAGGGACUGUCGGGGGCAUCCGUACUACGACGCGAGAGGUGAAAUUCAGUGACCGUCGUAGGACGAACAACAGCGAAAGCAUUUGCCAAGAAUGUCUUCGUUGAUCAAGAACGAAAGUUAGAGGAUCGAAGGCGAUCAGAUACCGCCCUAGUUCUAACCCUAAACGAUGCUGACCAGCUAUUCGUUAGCGUUAUUCCCAUGACGUGGCGAGACGCCCCCGGGAAACCUCGAGUCUUUGAGUUCCGGGGGUAGUAUGGUUGCAAAACUGAAACUUAAAGGAAUUGACGGAAGGGCACCACCAGGAGUGGAGCCUGCGGCUUAAUUUGACUCAACACGGGAAACCUCACCAGGCCCGGACACCAGAAGGAUUGACAGAUUAAGAGCUCUUUCUCAAUUUGGUGGGUGGUGGUGCAUGGCCGUUCUUAGUUGGUGGAGUGAUUUGUCUGGUUAAUUCCGGUAACGAACGAGACUCUGGCCUACUAACUAGUGGGCGGGUGUUCCGGUAAGGGGCCCCGCCCGACAAAUGUCUUCUUAGAGGGAUGAGCAGCGAGUAUAGCUGCAGGAGAUUGAGCAAUAACAGGUCUGU